ACUUGGUUUGCAAGCCAGGUUCACACUUGAGCCUUGUGAUUGGACCAAAUGAUUCAGCUGCUUGGGAGGGCAACAAGUAUUGGCGCAUAUGUGAAACGUGGAGAAGAGACUGGUUGUAUUAAAAUAUCCUUGAGAGGAAAUACUUAAGAUGAUCGGAUCACCAUCAUGCGCAAAAUUGAUACACAUAACAAGUCAGAAUGGUUGUACAGUGGUUAGAUAUUUGGCACUUGCCAUAGCAUUGCAUUUCAUGGUCCAGUUUGAUUCAGGUUUUAGACGGGGAUGACUCAUUAGAACUUAUCUUUUACCCUCUUGUACUUGCUUCAUUAUCAAAUGAAAGAGAUGGUCUUAACAGAA